AACGCGAAGAACCUUACCAAGACUUGACAUAUACGGGAAUACUUAAGAAAUUAAGUAGUCUUUCGGGACUCGUAUACAGGUGAUGCAUGGUUGUCGUCAGCUCGUGUCGUGAGAUGUUGGGUUAAGUCCCGCAACGAGCGCAACCCUCGUGAUUAGUUGCCUUAUAAAAGGAACUCUAAUCAGACUGCCGUAGUUAAUACGGAGGAAGGUGAGGAUGAUGUCAAAUCAUCACGUCCCUUAUGUCUUGGGCUACACACGUACUACAAUGGGCGUUACAAAGAGAAGCGAUACCGCGAGGAGGAGCAAAACUGAAAAAGGCGUCCUAAGUUCGGAUUGCAGGCUGAAACUCGCCUGUAUGAAGUUGGAAUUGCUAGUAAUCAUAGGUCAGCAUACUAUGGUGAAUACGUUCCCGGGUCUUGUACACACGC
rnacentral:rRNA from 1 species